UGCCGUUCAGAGCAUCGGAGAGGUGCCAGGU
rnacentral:piRNA from 1 species